CUAAAGACCCAUGGGCACACCACUGGUCUCCAUCUACUUUAGAUCUAAGGAUCUCAGUCCUGACUGCAUUGGCAUCCUGGGUCUGUUUUCCUCAGGAGAAUGUAUUAGCAGUUUCUAGGCUUAUGUAAUCUUAUGGUCAAUAAAGGCCACAGAUCUGGAAAAGCCUCCAGAAUUCUAGAAAAUAUAAAGAAACGUGCCCUAUUUUCCUUAAUCAUUAAAGAAUACUUGCUGAUGUGAAACACAGUUGGUUAAAAAGCUGUUCCCUGGUGAGUGUCAUUUCUGACUGUUCCCCAUUGCUUCUCUCUUCCACUGAAAUGCUGACCUUCAGAACAGCCGCAGCCACACGGCUGGUGACCCCUGCAAGAUGUGUGCUCCCAGCCACUAUGGGAAGGUGAUUGGGUUGCUUGGAGACUGCACCCCGUGUACCUGUCCUCACCGCCCCCCUUUCAGUUUCAGCCCCACCUGUGUCUUGGAAGGUGAUGGUGGUUUCCGGUGCGAUGCCUGCAUCCCUGGCUAUGAAGGACAGGGUGUUCUGCAUUUCCUUUCUAAAAGGGAUGACGGCCUCUGGGCAGAGCUGGCGCGUGUGUUCCUGGUUGACGCAGAUUGCCCUGUCUAUACCUACUGUCCCCGUUUCAGUAGGUGCUUUACAGGCUAUCAUGACAACCCUCAUGCAGCAGUUGGCAGCUGCCAGAAGUGUGACUAUAACCCGCAAGGCUCUGUCCACAGUGACUGUGACCACACAUCUGGGCAGUGUGUUUGCAAGCCAGGAGCCACGGUCCUCCACUGUGAUGAAUGCUGGCCAAGACACAUCAUGGCAGAGAGCGACUGCAUGUCCUGUGAUGAUGAGUGUGUGGGCGCCGUGCUGAAUGACCUGGAUACUGUUGGCGACGCUGUUCUGUCUCUGAACCUCACUGGCGUUUCCUCUGCUCCAUAUGGGAUCUUGUCAAGUCUGGAAAACACAACUAAAUAUUCCAGGAACUAAAACCUCCCAGGCAGCGAGGUUCCACUUCCAGUAGUCAGUGAAAUCCUGCACUGCACUGACAUUCUGGUCUCCCAGGCAGUGAGGCUCCAUUUCCGGUAGUCAAUGUGAGAUCCUGUACUCUACACUGACAUUCUGGUCUCCCAUCUCAGAAAGCUCUCUAGAGUCUUAUCAAGCCGUCAGCAGGUGAAUAAAGCAACGAGAAGAACUGUCAGUGGGACUCGAGCCCUGGCCACGUUCAUUGAGCAGCUGCACGCCAACAUCAAAGGGCUGCUAAAGAGUUACUGUCACGAAUUCAGAGAGGUUCCAGAAGCCCCAGGAAAAGCUGAAGGCAUUGAAGGAGGCAGCCAGUGGCCUCCGUUCAGACCACAGCGAAGAACUGCAGGCGGCAGAGGAGCUCCUGAGGGAAGCUGAGACCAAGACCCAGGAGAGCAACGGCCUGCUGCUCCUCGUCAAGGCCAACCUGAGAGAGUUCAGCCCAACAAUCGAAGUUUGGAAAAGCUGAUUCCUAUGAAACUAGGAGAAGGAUUUCAUGCAACAAUCUACAAAGGGAAAAGCAACUCUGUCUGGCCCACCUCAAGCUGUGACACACCUCCUUCCAGUAAUGGUUAGCGACUUCAGUCCACACCUACCACUAGCCUGUGCUAGCCUGGACUUAGCAGUCAGUCGAUUUCAGCUCCGUUUUGGUAAGUAUGUUGCCUCCAACCUUAGCCUAUUUCAGACAGAUGCUUGAGCUCUGAGAGCCCAGGUCACCUUGUCAAACUCUUAAAAUCAUCUACAUUGCCUCACAUAAUUCUCUGUCUCCCCUCUUCUCUCUGCCUGUCCGUCUGUGUGUGCCGCACCUAUGUGCUAUCUUUAGCAUGUGGAGGUUGUAGGACAACCCUAUAAAUUCAUUCUCUUCAACCGCUUUGUAGAUCGAACUGUGUUGCUUCCUCCUCCAAAUGUUUUUGCUGGUGGAGACGCUGAUGGGCAUGAAGCAAUGCUGGCACUUGCUGGAGAAGUCAGUGACGGCUCUGAGAAGUGGGAGCCUUGGCCUUGGCCCCCAAAUGUGCUGCUGUCCUUCCUCAGAUGCCAGUCAGGACAGCGAGACCAUCUCUGUCCCUCAGGAUUGCCUUGGUUGUUGUUUUGGGGAACCCUCAACCUCUUGGCUUACUUCUCUGACUUUAGAUCUUAUUGAAUCUUGGUGUCCUAGUCCACUUACCCUUUUCUUUAUCCCUAGUUUAGUUUUCUGUGUUUGCGAAUGUAAGUAUUUAGCAUUUUAGGCCAUUGCUCCUUGUGUUAACAUACUCAGAGCCCUUGCCCAAGGGUGCUCUUGCUUACUGCUCUUAAUGCAAGCAACAGUUUGUUUGUCCAGUGUCAGUGUAGUGUGUUCCUUUCCUCAGAAACUGGAACAUUCAAGCCUGCAGGGAAGCUCCUUAAACGGGAAGGUCAGCAAUUCAAAACAGCUUCAGGAAGGAACUCUCUAAAACUGACCAAAUUCUCUGUCUCUCCUUCCCAAGAUGUAAACAAGCCAAGCUUCUCAAAAUUCCUCUCAGACAAGCCAAGCUACAAAGAUGACUGUGAGACCAGACCAGCUGCCGGGCAGAAGCAGAAAACAGCCAUGCUGCUUGGAAGAGGCUUAGACCAGCUAGGACUCAAAGGACACUCCUACCUGUGGAGCUGUUGGCAGGCUGUGCAGUGUGCUUCAGGUUCCCAGCUCUUGUGAGCUUGUCACUGAACCCGGGGUGGGCUCUGGUGGUGCAGCUGUCUUUAAAUCACUGAUGCACCUGUAAGUCACCUCACCCAUAUUCCUGUAAACAAUGCCCAUAAAGCUCAUUGGCUCACCAAGCUG